AGUUUGAGGGAGUCGACUGCCUUUGCAGUUUGAAUCAAUCGAGUUUGGAAAGGUAUUUCUCAGUGCCUAGUGAUUGGAUUUAUUUGAAAUUUUGGGAGAAUCAAUAUUUAUAAGCUAAGCUCUGAGAGGCAUAAGAUUUGGUGAAUUUUAAUACAAUCUGAAUUUUUAGUGAAUUUCUAAGUGAAGAGGGUUAGUCAGUACGGCAGUUUGGAUCACUCAACUUCAAAGGAGGAAUUCUCAUGAUUGGAUCAUUAGAUUGCAACAAGCAUUGUUGGAUCAAAAGCGUCUUCAAGUUAGCCUUGCAAAAAGCUAAGAAUUAUUCAAAUUUAAGCCGAUUACAAUUUUGGAAAAUUUUGGAGUAGAGGGGAGUUGCUGCCUUCAAUCCUUAGGUGUUGUCAAGGUACCUUCACUUUCACCUCUCUCACUUUAUUUUUACUAUCAUCUUCACAGUGAAUUGUAAGCUCUACAUUUCACUAUUUGGCUAAUAAAUUUUAAGUUUAACUUUUAACCUUUAAUAUUUUACUUUAACUUUUAACUUUUAACUUUUAACUUUAACCUUUAAAUUAAACUUUCAAUUUUAACUUUUUACUUAAUCUUUAAUAUUAAUUUUUAACUUAAUUUUAUUACUUAAACUUUUAAUUUAAACUUUAACUUAACCUUUUAAUUUUAACUUUUAACUUAACCUUUUAAUCUUAAGUUUUAAUUUUAACUUAACUUUUAACUUAACUUUUAAUUCAAACUUAAAUUUUAUUCUUAUGGUCAAUUA
rnacentral:lncRNA from 1 species